UACAGAGGUCUCAAGCGUUGUUCGGAUUCAUUGGGCGUAAAGGGUGCGUAGGCGGCGCGGUAAGUCGGGUGUGAAAUCUCGGGGCUUAACUCCGAAACUGCAUUCGAUACUGCGGUGCUUGAGGACUGGAGAGGAGACUGGAAUUUACGGUGUAGCAGUGAAAUGCGUAGAGAUCGUAAGGAAGACCAGUGGCGAAGGCGGGUCUCUGGACAGUUCCUGACGCUGAGGCACGAAGGCCAGGGGAGCAAACGGG
rnacentral:rRNA from 1 species